rnacentral:tRNA from 1 species
UGGGGUAUAGUAUAAUUUAUUACGUUUCGCUUACAUUGAAAAUAUAGCUCGAUAGGGCUUGCCCUGA